AAUAAAAAUUAAGCUUAACUUAUCCGAUUGUUUUAUUUCAUAUUUCUCGGUCCUUUUAAAAUAAACUUGAAUGGAAAAUUAACUUGUCGUCGUUUCUGGAAAAAAUUGAAGAGGAAAGAGCAUCACAUUCAAUCUUCCAGUGUGGUCGUCGUCGUCUCCUUCCUCUUCCGCAGCAAGAUGGCCGUUCGACGUCUUCCUCCGCUUCAGAGGUGAGGACGUCCGCCCCGGCUUCCUCCCUUCACGGCGGCAUCGACGCCCACAUCGACGGCGAGGGCUUGAGGCCCGGGGCGCGAGAUCCUGCCGGGCGCUCACGAAGGCCACCGAGGAGUCACGGAUCGCCGUGCUCGUCUUCUCCGAGGACCAUGCUUCGUCUGGGUGGUGCUUGGACGAGCUCAGUGAAGGAAGGUGAUGGAGUGGAAGGGGCUCAAGGGGACAGCUGGUGUUGCCCCUGUUCUACAGCGUGGAGCCGAGGGAGAUUCGAUGGCAGAGAGAGAGGGUUAUGGCAAGGCAUUGGCUAGUCACCGAUUUGUUCGGUUGGUAUUACUAUGACCAUGGGGAACCAAUGUUGUUAGAGGCAUAGUGUUGGACUUACCGACACAAGAAGAGUUAGACAUCAAUCCGAGUGCUUUCACAUAUAUGAGGAGACCGAGAUUGCUCCUAGUCCUGAAUGCAUAGCCCAGCAGAGUUCCCAUAUGUCUUCUAAAAGAUUUAAGGUGGCUUGAAUGGCCUGAGUAUCCUUUAUCAACUCUGAAGUUUAGUGCUAGUCUAAAGAAACUUGUUUGGUUUGAUGUGCAUAAUAGCCAGAUUAAAGAAUUAGGAGAUAACUUAAAGGUACAUCAUACAUUCUUUUAUUGACAGUUUCCAUUUUCGUGCCUUUCACAAAGUGAAAUUUAUCAAAACCUUGUUCGGCUGUUCUUUUUAAUUUGCAGCAUUUUAGGAAUUUGAAGUUCCUAAUUCACAAUUGCUCUAAGUCUCUUAUUAGUGUUCUGGACAUAUCAAAGAUGCUAAAUUUGGAGACAGUGAACUUAAGUAGGUGCUUGAACCUCAAGGAGCUUCCAAGCAAACUGAAGCUGGAAUAUCUUCAAAACUUGAUGUAAUUGGCUGCUCUAAGCUUGAUAAAUUUCCUGAUAUUAAGGAUAUGGAGAGCUUAACAAAACUUCAUAUAUCUCAGAUCUCCAUUAAAUAACUUCCUGCAUCAAUUGGAAACCUUAUCUCUGUUGAGGAUUGUGGAAAAGUCUGAUCAAUCUUCCUAGUAGCAUUUACGAGAUGCAAAAUCUAGAGCACCUUUCUCUUGAAGGGUUGUUCGCUAUUUAGCUCGUUUCCAGGGAGCAGUGAGAGCUCCAAUCUCCCUAAUGGUAGACUUGGAUUCCAAAUUUGGUCUCCCCGAAGCUUAGUGGGUGCAAGCUGUCAGAGGAAGAAUUUCUUUAGUCUUACCUGCUUCUCUGCUGUAAAUAUUUUGCAUCUCUAUGGAUAUAAUUUUGUUAGUCUUUCUACAUGCAAUAGCAAGUUUGAGGAGUUGAUGGUCCAUUAAAAAUUAGAUGACUAUAAGCAAUUGCAGGAGAUCUUGGAGCUUCCACCAAACAUUUACACCCUUGAAGCAAAUGGCUGCAAUUCAUUGUCCAGAUUUCCAAAUUUGCCUAUUCAAUGCAUUCAGUCCUCCAUGUCAGUGUAUGUUCAUUUAGAUUCUUGUCAUGGAUUGGUUCAUGAAGGUAUCGACCUAGUUAAUAUGAUACAUGUGCAUGAGCUGAUGUGAUUUCUGAUUUAAUAGAUUUGCUAUAGCCGGAUGUUGGUUAGAUAGGACACUACAUGGAUACUAUAUUUCCUGGGAGAGGGAUAUGAUGUUGGUUUAUCCAAAGUCAAGAGCGUUCUGUCUCUUUCUGGGUACCCCAAGAUUUGCACAGGAGGGUUUUGUUUGUUGCCUUUGGAUUGGAGGAAGAAAAUGAGGCUUAUUUUUCAUUUGAGGUUUGGGUAUUGGUGAAUCAUGUUCAUAGUAAUUAUGAUACAAGAACAUUCUCUUUUUACAGUUUGAUCACCUGUGGUUUAAAUAUAUUACAUGCCGUUCAUUUGAUGAGCUGGAUGAGAUGUUGGAGACUGUGUGGAGUCUCUUCUAGGUUUCAUUUGAAGUAUCAAAAGCAACACUAAGAAGGUGUAGGUUUGGCCUUGUAUGGAAGCAAGUAGAGCAUGGCCUGAGGAAGCACCUCAAGCUUUCUAAGAUAAUCUCAUUGUCAUAUAUAUUCUUGAUUCAUGGCAAAAAGGUCCACUUCUGGAUUGCAGUUAAUUUGAGUAUUUGAUAUAAUGCUUACUGUUAAGUUGUCGCAUUUUCUAAAUGAUUUCUUGCACUCCGCUUUCAGCAACUUUAGCAUUGUGCUGUUUCCUGGUGAGAAUGACCCUCUUGUCCGUUGUCUGAUUUCUUUUGUGGAUAUGAGACAACCACACUGACUGUCACCUUAAGCAACUUCAUCUAGGUUUGUGACAAAAGAUGGAUGGAUGGGACAUUUGUCGAUUUUGGCUAGUGCUAACGCAAAGUUGUGGAAAUUGAAUUGCAAGGGACUACUUUUCAGAUGCCCAAAAUUAUACAUGUGGACCAUUUAUAUUUUUUAGCAGCCAUAAAUUCGAAAUUUUUGUAGCUAAGUUUUGCUUUAGGCAGGUAGGAGUAGCCCAAAUGCUGAAAUGUAAAUGGAGUUGAAAGAAGUUAUGUAGAUCUUGUCUUUUGGCCUCAAUGUAAGUAUUGUUUGAGUCACUAUGAUUUUGUGAUUUAAAAUAUGCUAGAUUUGUAUUGCUUCUUGCACUUUACUCCUGUGGAUCCUAUAAUGUUUUCUAAAUUGCUUAUUGCGUCGCAAUAUGAAGUAUCAGUGUCUAAACACAAGGAUACUGAAGUUCUUAUUGAAGUUCUAGAUUUUUGCUCUCUCUUUUAUGUUUAUGCAUCCAUUAAUCUCUUUAAGCUUCCCCCUUUUAUACUAGUCGGAAUGCUUAUUAUGCAAGAUUGUAUAAGCAAUACAAUUGAUGUGAAGGUUAGCGUUUCCAAGUUUCAGAUGUAGCUCUCUGUCUGCAUUUAACCAAAUUAAGCUGGCAAGUAUUAAUUUUACUCUUCUGCAGAGCUUUUGGCUGUUUUGUCUCUGUGAAAGUUUGAACAAGCAAAUAGUUCCAUAUGUUUUAUGCUACAAGUAUCAAUUGUUGGAAAUCUCUCUGCUUUUUGACAAAUUCAUGGUGUGUUUACCUUUGAAUGCUCAGAGAUAUAUACCUUCCUAUUUUUCAGAAUGGUAUUUCGCUGUGCAUCCAAAUGAUUGCCCUUUUAUUUGCCAUUUUCUUGCCUUGUUUCUGUUUCUGUGACAAAGGGUGGCAUUAGUUAUGUUAGAGGAUAUCCUAUUAAGGUAGGAGGCAUCUAGAACAGAGUUGAGGUUUCAGUUGCAUUUGCAAGUUAGAUUCCUGGGUAGAAUCCCAUCAAUGUUUGUAUCCAAGUUCUUUUAGUUUUUUUGGUUAUUUUUGUGUCAUGAAGUUUGAGCUAUAAUGUAACUGAGUGUCCUCUCACAUUGCCUUAAAGUUCUGUUAUUGAGGUUUUGCAGAUUGAAUUCAA